GCCUGGGUAGCUCAGUCGGUUAAGCAUCCGACUUCAGCUUAGGUCAUGAUAUGGCAGUUCGUGGGUUCAAACCCCACGUCGGGCU
rnacentral:tRNA from 1 species